GAUCUACACUCCUCGGCCUUUUGAAUCACUGCCUCCUCGAAGAUUUCAUCUUUCUCUUGAUGGCCAACUUGAUGGACGUAGGUGACAGCUUCAUUAUGAAGAUAAAGAAAAUAGAGUCUUUCUACAACAAGAGAGUUUGUAGCAAUUCAAUGGCAGAAAAUCUGGUCAGAGAAAUGGUCUACUUAUAAAGACCACUGACGGCCUAGAUCGGAUCAUCAAAUCAUCAGAUCUCACUACUUGAUAGGCAUUGGGAGCGACAUCCUUUGCGAUCGUACGUCACAUUCUUUCCUGAUCAAACUGCGUUGGGUGAGUACACGAGGUGUGCUUCGGGAUCCAUCGAUAUUUGACAACUCAUAUUUCUUUCUCCCAAGUCAGAAUUCUGUGGCUCCUCGAUCUCUCUUUCUUCUUAUCUCUCCUUCCCAAGUAAUUAAUUCAUAAGUGUUUUAUGUCAUCCUUUAUUGUUAUAUGACUUCUUGCAUUAGUCUAAUGCUCAUGAGUCAUUAUUUUAUAACAUCCUAUGUUUUUAUAUGACAUCCUACUUUGGUUAAUAACUAUUAUUUAUAGUUUUAUGAUAUUUUGUAUUGUUAUAUGAUAUCCUACAUAGUUUAAUGACUUCUAGUUAGUGUUUUAUGACAUUUUAUAUUAUCCUAGUGCACGAGUAGUAUCUAUGACUUGUUCUUCCUAAUUAUAGGACAUUCUAUUAGAUGAUAUAUCAAAAUCUAGUUGCUUGUCCUAGUUAGUGCAACAUAAAGUAACAAUGAUCGCAUAAGAAGUCAUAAACAAGUAACAGGAUAUCAUAAUCGCUAUCGAAAAGUUAUAUAGGGCAGC
rnacentral:lncRNA from 1 species